AUUAAUUCUUGAAUAUGAUUUAAAUCUGGAUGUACGGGAAAUAAAAUUAACAGUGUAAUGCUUAUGAUACACUUUGACCUCUUUUGCAACAUGCGCGCCAUCUCUUGCCCUUUCUGAGACACCUGAAGCUUUUGCAUAAAAAAAGUAUCGAUAGUUUGUCUCGCAAGUUUCCGUGAGUGCCUCCAUGGAUCUCAUAACUGACCACAAAAAGUAUUUCAAAAAACCCCUAAUUGAACUAAUCCUAGAGGCUAGCCAAAUAUCCGCUACCUGCUUGUAUAACACAAUACAAGCAAAGGUAGAAUGAGAUCGAUAGCUUAGAAACGUUUAAGGCAAAAUGAGAUGGGGUUGUUCGAAAUUGCGUUCGACAAAAAUAGGUACGCAAUAGGGGGGGGUUUAUAAAAACUAAAUUUUCCGACCGACAUUUUAUUCUCGUGCGAUUCGUCAAGUUUUCUAAAUCGGUGAAAAUUUCAAAAUACCAGUUAGCCAAGUCAAUAGUGAUUUUGGGAAGACAAAAUUGUAAUAAUCAGUGAUCAAAAAAGUUAAAUUGAUUAUUGUACAAUCUUUGAUUAAGAUUAAGCCAGGACAGCCAUUUUGAAAAUCACUCUAAGUGUGGCUAAAAUACCAGAUCAAAAGGGUGAUUCCCGCUGGUCAUCGCGGGUGUUUAUCCGGAGUCGCCGACUUCUAGGAAAAUCAGUUCGUUGGCUCGAACCAGCCCUGCGACCGGACCACUCUCAUGCGAGCGCCCAUCAAUCGCGCAACAUCCGAAAGCUUUCCGCAACGUUUCUCGUCGCAGCAUCGGCAAGCUCAUCCCAUAAUUGUUGCCCAAAUCGUCUCACACCGAAACAUCGCACAAUCGGCAAGCGUUAGGCACAGAAGUUUGAAGAAGUGCCACCUGCGGGUGAGUAGCCGAAACUGUGUUUACACGCAUAGCAAGCAAACGAACGGUGGAAACGGUUGCGUGUGGAUAGUUGUGUUGCGGAUCGACCCCUGCAUGUGGAGUGUGGAAC